rnacentral:rRNA from 1 species
AGUGAACGCUGGCGGUGGGCCUAACACAUGCAAGUCGAACGGCAGCACAGGAGAGCUUGCUCUCUGGGUGGCGAGUGGCGGACGGGUGAGGAAUACGUCGGAAUCUACUCUGUCGUGGGGGAUAACGCAGGGAAACUUACGCUAAUACCGCAUACGACCUACGGGUGAAAGCAGGGGACCUUCGGGCCUUGCGCGAUUGAAUGAGCCGAUGUCGGAUUAGCUAGUCGGCGGGGUAAAGGCCCACCAAGGCGACGAUCCGUAGCUGGUCUGAGAGGAUGAUCAGCCACACUGGAACUGAGACACGGUCCAGGCUCCUACGGGAGGCAGCAGUGGGGGAUAUUGGACAAUGGGCGCAAGCCUGAUCCAGCCAUACCGCGUGGGUGAAGAAGGCCUUCGGGUUGUAAAGCCCUUUUGUUGGGAAAGAAAUCCAGCUGGCUAAUACCCGGUUGGGAUGACGGUACCCAAAGAAUAAGCACCGGCUAACUUCGUGCCAGCCGCCGCGGUAA